rnacentral:lncRNA from 1 species
UUCUUAAAACAAUCAACAAAUAAAAAUGCGCAAACCCGACUUACAUUCGAUAAAGAAUUCAUACUCAUAAUGGUUGGCUCAGAUAUGAGUGCUAAGUUUGUUUGUUUUUUCCUUAAGGAGUAGCGUUUCAUUUUUCUUUUUCUCGUUUUUAACAUAAAUAAAAGCCAUGAUGGCCCUCUGUCCAACGCCCGUACAUGGUCAUGGACCACGUAGAGCGGUAGAGGCAUGCAGUGCGCACGAGGAUCGAUCGCAUGAGUAGAGGCAA